rnacentral:rRNA from 1 species
GAUGAACGCUGGCGGCGUGCCUAAUACAUGCAAGUCGAGCGAACAGACGAGGAACUUGCUCCUCUGACGUUCGCGUCGGACAGGUGAGUAAAAUGUGGCGAAACUUACUAUAAAACUGGGAUAACCUCGGGAAACCGGUGCUUAAAACGGAUAAUAUAUUGAACAGGAUGGUUCAAUAGUUACAGACGGUUUUGCUGUCACUUAUACAUGAUUCCGUGCCGCAUUAGCUAGUUGGUAAGGUAACGGCUUACCAAGGCGACGAUGCGUAGCCGACCUGAGAGGGUGAUCGGCCACACUGGAACUGAGACACGGUCCAGACUCCUACGGGAGGCAGCAGUAGGGAAUCUUGCGCAAUGGGCGAAAGCCUGACGGAGCAACGCCGCGUGAGUGAUGAAGGUCUUCGGAUCGUAAAACUCUGUUAUUAGGGAAGAACAAAUUUGUAAGUAACUAUGCACGUCUUGACGGUACCUAAUCAGAAAGCCACGGCUAACUACGUG